rnacentral:rRNA from 1 species
UACGUAGGGGGCAAGCGUUGUCCGGAAUUAUUGGGCGUAAAGCGCACGUAGGCGGCUUGGCAAGUCGGAUGUGAAAUCCCUCGGCUCAACCAAGGAAGUGCAUCCGAAACUGCUGAGCUUGAGUACUUAAGAGGAUCGCGGAAUUCCCGGUGUAGAGGUGAAAUUCGUAGAUAUCGGGAGGAACACCGGUGGCGAAAGCGGCUCUCUGGCCCGGUUCUGACGCUGAGGCGCGAAAGCGUGGGGAGCAAACAGG